UACGGAGGGUGCAAGCGUUAUCCGGAUUUACUGGGUUUAAAGGGUGUGUAGGCGGGCAUUUAAGUCUGGGGUGAAAUCUCCGGAGCUCAACUCGGAAACUGCCUUGGAUACUAUUUGUCUUGAAUUAUGUUGAGGUUGGCGGAAUAUAACAUGUAGCGGUGAAAUGCAUAGAUAUGUUAUAGAACACCGAUUGCGAAGGCAGCUAACUAAGCAGUAUAUUGACGCUGAGGCACGAAAGCGUGGGAUCAAACAGG
rnacentral:rRNA from 1 species